rnacentral:rRNA from 1 species
AACGGGAGGUGGAGGGUGGACCAGAGGAGAGAAGGGCGGAGGAGGGUGCUUUGGGAUCGGCGGCGUGGCACGUCGGCGGCGGCGGCGCGGGAGGAGGAGGAAGGUGGAGGACCGGCCGCGGGUUGGUGGCGCGGGAGAGGAAGGGGGAUGGCGGCCGGAGAGGGAUCCACCGCCGGUCUAGACGGUGUCGGUGUCGGUGCUGCUCCCGAAGACCUAGGCGCGGCGGCAGCUCGACCCGCGCUGGUAAUUGGAGCCUGGUGUGGCGGCGGUGGUACCUACGUGGUAUAGUUCCUUAACGUUCUUUUAGUACUCCUUAAAGAAAGUUCAGCUUACCGACUGUUUCUCGAAGUCCAAGUACCAAGUGGUCCAAGACGACCGAGGUGAUUGUCAACGGAUGUUCGUGAACGUGUCAACCUCCCGCACAAGCCCUCGGGAGGGCGAAGAGUUGAGGAGUUGAGGUGCACUCCUCACGUCGGCUUGCUAGGUUUAGGACCAAUACUCGCUCUCUUCGACCGCUUUGAACGUCACGUUAAAAACGCCUCAGCGCCUCGACCGUUUGAGCUCGAGGAGGUUUUGUCGCUUCGUCCUCAACGGUUCUUAAUGUAGAUUCACGGUGGCGGUUCGAAGGGUGCGCAUCUACCCGACAGUGCGGAUCAACCCGGGAGGGCUCGACGAUAAAGAGUAUCGAUCCACCGACCGCCGGACAAAGUUGCCGGUCUUGCUCCUCGAUGAGAUGGCUUGCUAAACAUUGAGGUCCUAAAAUUGACUCUUCGGCCGACGACCAAAACCCGAUACCUCAACUCCUAAAACUCCGACACCUCUCGAUGGCUUGUGCGGGCCUUAAUCCGUGGUACCCUUCCUAAGUUUAGAGACUCUUCACACGAUUUAGUUAUCACGGUUAGCCAAGUCAAAGUCGAAGUUUUUGUAAUCCACCAACUUUUACCGUAAGAUAUAAAGACGUUGUUCCGAGGGAUUUAUAAGGGAUACAAGAUUUGACCUAAGACUGUUCCCACAUGUGGGACGAUAAACCAGUCUUCAAGCCCUCAAGUAUGAACCAACAAACUAGAGCUCUUGUGGAAACUACUGGUGCUCGUUUAACCCGCUUGGUUUUCCAUGAAGAUCUUGUGCCUGUUAAAGGGAGUUCCAGUUCUGGAGUGUAGUUGCGAAGGUUCGGGGACUACUCGGACAAGGAAAAAAAUUUCAAAGAGUUACAGUGAAGAUAUCCAAAUGAACUCUACAAUACAACGUAUACAACACGACUCCAAAAGGGUGAAGGGAAAAUUGAAGAGACUUCAACUAGUAGUGUACAAAUACGUUAACCUGGUUUCGCUGCUGUAAUGAAUGUCGAAUGGGCCAAUUGUAUUGUCAAUACUUGAUCCUACUUGAAUAUGUACGUCUCUCUCUCUCUCUCUCUCCAACAAAUUUCUUAGGCCACAGAAACACAAACGGAUGUCUUAAGUUAUAAACAAGUACGCCACUAGGAGCCGGAGAGAGAGAGAGAGAGAGAGAGAGAUACACACACACACACACAGGACUGAGAAACACGGACACAACUGGGAAACAAACAGGUACGCUAAAAUGACACCUGAUGAGAAAGAUUAAACCGUACAUCUAUCCCAGUAAAAAUCUAUAAGAUAUCCCACUAAUGACAACAACGUCGCGACCUACCGUACAUCGUCACGACCUAGGCCACCGGUCGGCAGCGGCAACGGACAGGAGAAACUACGCUCUAGGUGCGACGAGGUG